GAUGAAGAACGUAGCGAAAUGCGAUAAGUAAUGCGAAUUGCAGAAUUCCAGUGAAUCAUCGAAUCUUUGAACGCACAUUGCGCCCGCGAGUAUUCUCGCGGGCAUGCCUGUCCGAGCGUCAUUUCAACCCUCAGGGCCCGCCUGCUUCGGCAGGCGCGGCGCUGGUGUUGGGGAUCGGCCUAACCGCCGUCCCCCAAAUACAGUGGCGGUCUCGCUGCAGCCUCCCCUGCGUAGUAGCAACACUCGCAUGCGGAGCGCGGCGCGGCCACGCCGUAAAACCCCCGACUUUCUGAACGUUGACCUCGGAUCAGGUAGGAAUACCCGCUGAACUUAAGCAUAUCAAUAAGCGGAGGA
rnacentral:misc_RNA from 1 species